CGACGUAGGGGGCAAGCGUUGUCCGGAAUUACUGGGCGUAAAGGGUGCGUAGGCGGCAGUAAAAGUCUAAUGUGAAAUCCCCGUGCUUAACAUGGGGUUUGCAAUGGAAGCUUUACAGCUAGAGUGCAGGAGAGGUAAGUGGAAUUCCUAGUGUAGCGGUGAAAUGCAUAGAUAUUAGGAGGAACACCAGUGGCGAAGGCGACUUACUGGACUGUAACAAACGCUGAAGCACGAAAGCGGGGGGAGCGAACAGGAUUAGAUACCCUGGUAGUCCACGCCGUAAACGAUGGAUACUAGGUGUAGGGUCUUAAAGGCUCUGUGCCGUAGUAAACGCAAUAAGUAUCCCGCCUGGGGAGUACGGCCGCAAGGCUGA
rnacentral:rRNA from 1 species